ACACAUGCAAGUCGAGCGGAGAUGAGGUGCUUGCACCUUAUCUUAGCGGCGGACGGGUGAGUAAUGCUUAGGAAUCUGCCUAUUAGUGGGGGACAACAUUCCGAAAGGAAUGCUAAUACCGCAUACGUCCUACGGGAGAAAGCAGGGGAUCUUCGGACCUUGCGCUAAUAGAUGAGCCUAAGUCGGAUUAGCUAGUUGGUGGGGUAAAGGCCUACCAAGGCGACGAUCUGUAGCGGGUCUGAGAGGAUGAUCCGCCACACUGGGACUGAGACACGGCCCAGACUCCUACGGGAGGCAGCAGUGGGGAAUAUUGGACAAUG
rnacentral:rRNA from 2 species